CUACGGGGGGCAGCAGUAGGGAAUAUUGCACAAUGGGCGCAAGCCUGAUGCAGCCAUGCCGCGUGUAUGAAGAAGGCCUUCGGGUUGUAAAGUACUUUCAGCGGGGAGGAAGGGAGUAAAGUUAAUACCUUUGCUCAUUGACGUUACCCGCAGAAGAAGCACCGGCUAACUCCGUGCCAGCAGCCGCGGUAAUACGGAGGGUGCAAGCGUUAAUCGGAAUUACUGGGCGUAAAGCGCACGCAGGCGGUUUGUUAAGUCAGAUGUGAAAUCCCCGGGCUCAACCUGGGAACUGCAUCUGAUACUGGCAAGCUUGAGGCUCGUAGAGGGGGGUAGAAUUCCAGGUGUAGCGGUGAAAUGCGUAGAGAUCUGGAGGAAUACCGGUGGCGAAGGCGGCCCCCUGGACGAAGACUGACGCUCAGGUGCGAAAGCGUGGGGAGCAAACAGGAUUAGAUACCCCUGUAGUC
rnacentral:rRNA from 1 species